AGGGCGCACGGUGGAUGCCUUGGCACUAGGAGCCGACGAAGGACGUGACAAACGACGAUAUGCCUUGGGUAGCUGUAAGUAAGCGAUGAUCCAGGGAUUUCCGAAUGGGGGAACCCAACAGGUAAUACCUGUUACCUACAUCUGUUAAGGAUGUGAGGAGGAAGACGCAGUGAACUGAAACAUCUAAGUAGCUGCAGGAAGAGAAAGCAAAAGCGAUUGCCUUAGUAGCGGCGAGCGAAACGGCAGAAGGGCAAACCGAAGAGUUUACUCUUCGGGGUUGUAGGACUGCAAUGUGGACUCAAAGAUUAUAGAAGAAUGAUUUGGGAAGAUCAGCCAAAGAGAGUAAUAGCCUCGUAUUUAAAAUAGUCUUUGUACUUAGCAGUAUCCUGAGUACGGCGGGACACGUGAAAUCCCGUCGGAAUCUGGGAGGACCAUCUCCCAACCCUAAAUACUCCCUAGUGACCGAUAGUGAACCAGUACCGUGAGGGAAAGGUGAAAAGCACCCCGGGAGGGGAGUGAAAUAGAACCUGAAACCGUGUGCCUACAACAAGUUCGAGCCCGUUAAUGGGUGAGAGCGUGCCUUUUGUAGAAUGAACCGGCGAGUUACGUUAUGAUGCGAGGUUAAGUUGAAGAGACGGAGCCGUAGGGAAACCAGACAGGAAUAGGGCGCCUUAGUAUCAUGACGUAGACCCGAAACCAUGUGACCUACCCAUGAGCAGGUUGAAGGUGCGGUAAGACGCACUGGAGGACCGAACCAGGGCACGUUGAAAAGUGCUUGGAUGACUUGUGGGUAGCGGAGAAAUUCCAAACGAACUUGGAGAUAGCUGGUUCUCUCCGAAAUAGCUUUAGGGCUAGCGUCGACAUUAGAGAUUCUUGGAGGUAGAGCACUGUUUGGGUGAGGGGUCCAUCCCGGAUUACCAAUCUCAGAUAAACUCCGAAUGCCAAUGAAUUAUGGUCGGCAGUCAGACUGCGAGUGCUAAGAUCCGUAGUCGAAAGGGAAACAGCCCAGACCACCAGCUAAGGUCCCAAAAUAAUUGUUAAGUGGAAAAGGAUGUGGGGUUGCACAGACAACUAGGAUGUUAGCUUAGAAGCAGCUAUUCAUUCAAAGAGUGCGUAAUAGCUCACUAGUCGAGUGACCCUGCGCCGAAAAUGUACCGGGGCUAAAACAAUUUACCGAAGCUGUGGAUACCUUUAUAGGUAUGGUAGGAGAGCGUUCUAUGUGUGAUGAAGGUAUACCGUGAGGAGUGCUGGAACGCAUAGAAGUGAGAAUGCCGGUAUGAGUAGCGAAAGACAGGUGAGAAUCCUGUCCACCGUAAGACUAAGGUUUCCAGGGGAAGGCUCGUCCGCCCUGGGUUAGUCGGGACCUAAGGAGAGACCGAAAGGUGUAUCCGAUGGACAACAGGUUGAUAUUCCUGUACUAGAGUAUGUAGUGAUGGAGGGACGCAGUAGGCUAACUAAAGCAGACGAUUGGAAGAGUCUGUCUAAGCAGUGAGGUGUGAAUUGAGUCAAAUGCUUAAUUCUAUAACAUUGAGCUGUGAUGGGGAGCGAAGUUUAGUAGCGAAGUUAGUGACGUCACACUGCCAAGAAAAGCUUCUAGCGUUUAAACAUACUCUACCCGUACCGCAAACCGACACAGGUAGUCGAGGCGAGUAGCCUCAGGUGAGCGAGAGAACUCUCGUUAAGGAACUCGGCAAAAUGACCCCGUAACUUCGGGAGAAGGGGUGCUGACUUAAAGUCAGCCGCAGUGAAUAGGCCCAAGCAACUGUUUAUCAAAAACACAGCUCUCUGCUAAAUCGUAAGAUGAUGUAUAGGGGGUGACGCCUGCCCGGUGCUGGAAGGUUAAGAGGAGUGCUUAGCGUAAGCGAAGGUAUGAAUUGAAGCCCCAGUAAACGGCGGCCGUAACUAUAACGGUCCUAAGGUAGCGAAAUUCCUUGUCGGGUAAGUUCCGACCCGCACGAAAGGCGUAAUGAUUUGGGCACUGUCUCAACGAGAGACUCGGUGAAAUUUUAGUACCUGUGAAGAUGCAGGUUACCCGCGACAGGACGGAAAGACCCCAUGGAGCUUUACUGCAGUUUGAUAUUGAGUGUCUGUACCACAUGUACAGGAUAGGUAGGAGUCUAAGAGAUCGGGACGCCAGUUUCGAAGGAGACGCUGUUGGGAUACUACCCUUGUGUUAUGGCCACUCUAACCCAGAUAGGUGAUCCCUAUCGGAGACAGUGUCUGACGGGCAGUUUGACUGGGGCGGUCGCCUCCUAAAAGGUAACGGAGGCGCCCAAAGGUUCCCUCAGAAUGGUUGGAAAUCAUUCGCAGAGUGUAAAGGUAUAAGGGAGCUUGACUGCGAGAGCUACAACUCGAGCAGGGACGAAAGUCGGGCUUAGUGAUCCGGUGGUUCCGUAUGGAAGGGCCAUCGCUCAACGGAUAAAAGCUACCCUGGGGAUAACAGGCUUAUCUCCCCCAAGAGUUCACAUCGACGGGGAGGUUUGGCACCUCGAUGUCGGCUCGUCGCAUCCUGGGGCUGUAGUCGGUCCCAAGGGUUGGGCUGUUCGCCCAUUAAAGCGGCACGCGAGCUGGGUUCAGAACGUCGUGAGACAGUUCGGUCCCUAUCCGUCGCGGGCGUAGGAAAUUUGAGAGGAUCUGCUCCUAGUACGAGAGGACCAGAGUGGACUUACCGCUGGUGUACCAGUUGUCUUGCCAAAGGCAUCGCUGGGUAGCUAUGUAGGGAAGGGAUAAACGCUGAAAGCAUCUAAGUGUGAAACCCACCUCAAGAUGAGAUUUCCCAUGAUUAU
rnacentral:rRNA from 1 species